rnacentral:lncRNA from 1 species
UGAGCCCUUGGAUGGUGCCACAUCAAUUAAUGAAACAGAUCCAAGCGCCCAGGAUUUUUGAUAUUUUCUUAUUUUUGUUUUAAUUUCUUUUAAUUUCUUUUUUUUUCAAAAAAUCAUAACUAUUUUAUUUGAAGUCACAAAAAUAUGAGAACAAUGGCAAAAAAAUUCCUGAAAAAUCUAGUUUCAUAUUUUGAUUUUUAAUUAUUUUUAUGACUUCAUU